UUUUAAUUCAACAUCGAGGUCGCAAACUUAAUUAUAAAUUAGAACUCCCCAAUCAAAUUACGCUGUUAUCCCUAGAGUAACUUAUCUACUUUAAUUUUUAUAUUAAAAAUCUUCUUCUUCAAUUAAUUGCCCCAAUUAAAUAAAUAUAUUUAUAAAGCUUCUAGGGUCUUCUCGUCCCAAAAUUUAAUAAAAGGAUUUUUACUUUUAAAUUAAAUUCAAAAUUAUUUAAUAAAACACUCCCCUCGGUAUCAACCCUUCAUUCCAGUCCCCAAUUAAAGAA
rnacentral:rRNA from 1 species